AGAGUUUGAUCAUGGCUCAGAUUGAACGCUGGCGGCAGGCCUAACACAUGCAAGUCGAACGGUAACAGGAAGCAGCUUGCUGCUUCGCUGACGAGUGGCGGACGGGUGAGUAAUGUCUGGGAAACUGCCUGAUGGAGGGGGAUAACUACUGGAAACGGUGGCUAAUACCGCAUAACGUCGCAAGACCAAAGAGGGGGACCUUCGGGCCUCUUGCCAUCAGAUGUGCCCAGAUGGGAUUAGCUUGUUGGUGAGGUAACGGCUCACCAAGGCGACGAUCCCUAGCUGGUCUGAGAGGAUGACCAGCCACACUGGAACUGAGACACGGUCCAGACUCCUACGGGAGGCAGCAGUGGGGAAUAUUGCACAAUGGGCGCAAGCCUGAUGCAGCCAUGCCGCGUGUAUGAAGAAGGCCUUCGGGUUGUAAAGUACUUUCAGCGGGGAGGAAGGUGUUGUGGUUAAUAACCGCAGCAAUUGACGUUACCCGCAGAAGAAGCACCGGCUAACUCCGUGCCAGCAGCCGCGGUAAUACGGAGGGUGCAAGCGUUAAUCGGAAUUACUGGGCGUAAAGCGCACGCAGGCGGUCUGUCAAGUCGGAUGUGAAAUCCCCGGGCUCAACCUGGGAACUGCAUUCGAAACUGGCAGGCUUGAGUCUUGUAGAGGGGGGUAGAAUUCCAGGUGUAGCGGUGAAAUGCGUAGAGAUCUGGAGGAAUACCGGUGGCGAAGGCGGCCCCCUGGACAAAGACUGACGCUCAGGUGCGAAAGCGUGGGGAGCAAACAGGAUUAGAUACCCUGGUAGUCCACGCCGUAAACGAUGUCUACUUGGAGGUUGUGCCCUUGAGGCGUGGCUUCCGGAGCUAACGCGUUAAGUAGACCGCCUGGGGAGUACGGCCGCAAGGUUAAAACUCAAAUGAAUUGACGGGGGCCCGCACAAGCGGUGGAGCAUGUGGUUUAAUUCGAUGCAACGCGAAGAACCUUACCUGGUCUUGACAUCCACGGAAGUUUUCAGAGAUGAGAAUGUGCCUUCGGGAACCGUGAGACAGGUGCUGCAUGGCUGUCGUCAGCUCGUGUUGUGAAAUGUUGGGUUAAGUCCCGCAACGAGCGCAACCCUUAUCCUUUGUUGCCAGCGGUCCGGCCGGGAACUCAAAGGAGACUGCCAGUGAUAAACUGGAGGAAGGUGGGGAUGACGUCAAGUCAUCAUGGCCCUUACGACCAGGGCUACACACGUGCUACAAUGGCGCAUACAAAGAGAAGCGACCUCGCGAGAGCAAGCGGACCUCAUAAAGUGCGUCGUAGUCCGGAUUGGAGUCUGCAACUCGACUCCAUGAAGUCGGAAUCGCUAGUAAUCGUGGAUCAGAAUGCCACGGUGAAUACGUUCCCGGGCCUUGUACACACCGCCCGUCACACCAUGGGAGUGGGUUGCAAAAGAAGUAGGUAGCUUAACCUUCGGGAGGGCGCUUACCACUUUGUGAUUCAUGACUGGGGUGAAGUCGUAACAAGGUAACCGUAGGGGAACCUGCGGUUG
rnacentral:rRNA from 2 species